rnacentral:tRNA from 1 species
GAUCGUGUAGCUCAGUUGGUAGAGCAGCGGACUUUUAAUCCGCAGGUCCUGGGUUCGAGCCCCAGCGCGAUCA